rnacentral:rRNA from 1 species
UACGGGGGGGGCAAGCGUUGUUCGGAAUUACUGGGCGUAAAGGGCUCGUAGGCGGCCAACUAAGUCAGACGUGAAAUCCCCUCGGCUUAACCGGGGAACUGCAUCUGAUACUGGAUGGCUUGAGUCGGGAGAGGGAUGCGGAAUUCCAGGUGUAGCGGUGAAAUGCGUAGAUAUCUGGAGGAACACCGGUGGCGAAGGCGGCAUCCUGGACCCGACACUGACGCUGAGGAGCGAAAGCCAGGGAG